GCACACUAGUUGCCGAAAGAUCUGCAGUAAGUAGAGAUGAGAGCAAUCAGGUAUUUGAUUUUACACAAGUUCAAAUGGCCAACUGUAAUAUAAAAGACAUUUAUGGUAUGGACAACAUAUAACCAUCAUGUAACAAUGGAUCCAAAUCAUGUUUAUACUUCUAUGAAAUUCAUCCAUCAUCAAGUGGCUGAGGGUAGAAAAGCUAGUAAACUAAUGAAUCGGUUGGAAUGCAUCUGGAAGAGAACAAGAUUGUCUUCAGACCUGUAGCGUCCAAGGCACGGAUUG
rnacentral:misc_RNA from 1 species